AACGCACCUUGCGCUCCUUGGUAUUCCGAGGGGCAUGCCUGUUUGAGUGUCAUUAAAUUAUCAACCUUGUUCGCUUUUACGAGCUUGAGCGAGGCUUGGAUGUGAGGGCUUGCUGGCUUCCUUCAGUGGAUGGUCUGCUCCCUUUAAAUGCAUUAGUGGGAUCUCUUGUGGACCGUCACUUGGUGUGAUAAUUAUCUAUGCCAUUUGACUGUGAAGCAAAAUUAUGGGAACCUGCUUAUAACCGUCUCGCAAGGGACAAUUUAAUUGACUAUUUGACCUCAAAUCAGGUAGGACUACCCGCUGAACUUAA
rnacentral:misc_RNA from 1 species